rnacentral:pre_miRNA from 1 species
AGGAGCAACCGCAGUGGCCGGGCCAGCUCUGCAGCCCUGGAGUCAGCUCCCGCAGUAACUCCGGAGCUCUCCGUCUGCAGGGCCUGGAGGCUCUGGGGCGGA